rnacentral:rRNA from 1 species
GACGUAGGGGACGAGCGUUGUCCGGAUUCAUUGGGCGUAAAGGGCGCGCAGGCGGCUCAUUUUGUCAGGCGUGAAAGCCCCGGGCUUAACCUGGGAACUGCGUUUGAUACGGAUGGGCUAGAGUUCGGGAGAGGAGAGUGGAAUUCCCAGUGUAGAGGUGAAAUUCGUAGAUAUUGGGAAGAACACCGGUGGCGAAGGCGGCUCUCUGGACCGAGACUGACGCUGAGGCGCGAAAGCGUGGGGAGCAAACAGG